ACGGGAGGCAGCAGUGAGGAAUAUUGGUCAAUGGGCGGAAGCCUGAACCAGCCAAGUCGCGUGAAGGAUGAAGGUAUUAUGUAUUGUAAACUUCUUUAGCAGCAGAGUAAUAAGGAGGUCGUGACCCCCGAUGCAAGUAUGCUGAAAAUAAGGAUCGGCUAACUCCGUGCCAGCAGCCGCGGUAAUACGGAGGAUCCGAGCGUUAUCCGGAAUUACUGGGUGUAAAGGGAGUGUAGGCGGGACUGUAAGUCAGAUGUGAAAUAUGCCGGCUCAACUGGCUGACUGCAUUUGAAACUGCGGUUCUUGAGUGAAGUAGAGGUAAGCGGAAUUCCUAGUGUAGCGGUGAAAUGCGUAGAUAUUAGGAGGAACAUCAGUGGCGAAGGCGGCUUACUGGGCUUUAACUGACGCUGAGGCUCGAAAGCGUGGGGAGCAAACAGGAUUAGAUACCCUGGUA
rnacentral:rRNA from 1 species